rnacentral:rRNA from 1 species
UACAGAGGUCCCAAGCGUUGUUCGGAUUCAUUGGGCGUAAAGGGCGCGUAGGCGGCGGGGUAAGUCGGGUGUGAAAUCUCAGAGCUCAACUCUGAAACUGCACUCGAUACUGCUCUGCUUGAGGACUGGAGAGGAGACUGGAAUUCACGGUGUAGCAGUGAAAUGCGUAGAUAUCGUGAGGAAGACAAGUGGCGAAGGCGGGUCUCUGGACAGUUCCUGACGCUGAGGCGCGAAGGCCAGGGGAGCAAACGGG